rnacentral:tRNA from 1 species
CGGCGAGUAGCUCAGCUGGAUAGAGUACGAAUUUCAUAAAUUCGAGGUCGAGGGUUCGAGUCCCUCCUUGUAAU